rnacentral:rRNA from 1 species
CGGACGGGUGAGUAACGCGUGGAUAACCUGCCUCACACUGGGGGAUAACAGUUAGAAAUGGCUGCUAAUACCGCAUAAGCGCACAGUACCGCAUGUACGGUGUGAAAAACCCAGGUGGUGUGAGAUGGAUCCGCGUCUGAUUAGCCAGUUGGCGGGGUAACGGCCCACCAAAGCGACGAUCAGUAGCCGACCUGAGAGGGUGACCGGCCACAUUGGGACUGAGACACGGCCCAA